rnacentral:lncRNA from 1 species
UAUGAGAUUGACAUAUUUUCCUAUUAUCACUUUCUAUUUCAGAGCAUUGGGGAAUCAUCAAUGUCUAUUGUAUUAAGUCAGCUACUACCUAUGAUUAAGCCUUCAACCCAGAGGACCAAUGAUGACUAUAACCUUGAGGAGCUGCUGAUCCUCCUCAUAUAUAUUCAUUCUGUCACUGGAGAAUUUGUGGUGGACAAAGACCUGGGAGAUACUGAAGAAAAAGUGAAGAAAGCAUUGGCUCAGGCUUUUUGUGAGGAGUCCGAGUUGUCACCUUUGCUUCAAAAAAUUACAGGUCAGUGUUCGACAAAGUUAUAGGACAUAAACACCAAUGAUAUAG